UACGUAGGGUGCGAGCGUUGUCCGGAAUUAUUGGGCGUAAAGAGCUCGUAGGCGGUGUGGCACGUCUGCCGUGAAAACCUGCAGCUUAACUGUGGGCGUGCGGUCGAUACGGGCAUCACUGGAGUUCGGCAGGGGAGACUGGAAUUCCUGGUGUAGCGGUGAAAUGCGCAGAUAUCAGAAGGAACAUCAGUGGCGAAGGCGGCUUCCUGGACCAAUACUGACGAUCAGGUGCGAAAGCGUGGGGAGCAAACAGG
rnacentral:rRNA from 1 species